rnacentral:rRNA from 1 species
GACCUCAGAUCAGGUAGNAUACCCGCUGAACUUAA